CCCUAGAAAUAAAGAAAAGAAAGGAAAGAAAGAAAGGGAAGAACGGAGAGGGUGAGAAAAGGGGAAGAGGGAAACAGAUCCGCAGAGGAGGAGAAACGGGGAAGAGAGAGAUCUGAAGGGAGAGGAAGAUCGUGACUGGCGCCGCCGCCGCCUCGCCCAACUGCCAUGCUUCUCGUUGUCGCCGCCGAAGGGAAGAGGGAGAGAGAGCGCCGUCGAACAGAACGCGAGAAGGGAGAGGAGUUGUGUUCUGUUGUUGACGUCGCACCACCGCCACGCCGCCGUGCUGUGUGAAGUCACCGCAGUCGCCUCGAUCCUCGCCGUCGUCGUUCUCGGCCCGAGCCCUUGCCGUCGUCGAUGGGGUCGAAUCCGCCGCCAGUUUGAGCUAAGGGAGAGGAAACGCGUAUAGGUGAUAGAACAGGGGGCUUCGUGGGAGCUCCGCCACUGCCCAACCACCGUCGCAGGAGGAACGUCCUGCCACCACUGUGCUCCGUCGCUGUCGAAAUCAGAACAUCCACCGAUUAAUGCUACCGCCGCCACUGGCUUGCCAUUUCUGCUCGGUUGUGCCCUUAUUUGCCGUUCUGAUUGUUGAAAGGAAAUGUUGUCGAAGCUAUAGCUUCUCCAUUCCCCAUUCUCUUGUUUCUUUUCUGAGGGUGCUUGGAAUACAAAUCAUGAUGUAGCUACUGCAGAAUAAGGUGAAAAGAGGGUUUAUCGCGUUAAAAUCGGUGCGGGUUUGAUUCUUUGAGGUAUGGGUUUUUCUUAAAAUCUAUUUUAUAUUACAGAGUUGUGAUAAAUAGAUAUUGAUGCAAAAAGAUAUACUUCUGUGAUUAUAUUUAUCUUGUGGAUGUGAUGGUUGGUUGGACUAGAUUAUUGGGUGCUUGAUUGCGUGAGUGAUGUAUGGUUGUUGAUAAAAAUCGGUUUGAAAUGUUAUUUACUUGAUUAUUAUGAAAGGUGGAUUUUCUUGGUUUUGGAGUUUACUUGGUAAUAUAAAUGAAUCGAUUUUAGAAAUAAUUUGAGAUAUGAAAAUAAAUUGAUUCUGGGAGCGGUUUGAU